AACCUAGCACACCUGCGGUGUGUACCUGCGGAGGGAUCAUUACCGAGUUUACAAACUCCCAACCCUAUGUGAACCUUACCAAUCGUUGCUUCGGCGGGCUUAGCCCCCGCGCCCUCGCCGGCGCCGGGAGAAAGGCGCCCGCCGGGGACCCCAAACCCAAUGUUUUUCAUGCAGUAUUUCUGAGUGGCAAACGCAAAAAUAAAUCAAAACUUUUAGCAACGGAUCUCAGAUCGGAAGAGC
rnacentral:misc_RNA from 1 species